AAGUCGUAACAAGGUUUCCGUAGGUGAACCUGCGGAAGGAUCAUUAAUGAUUUUAGCUAACCAUGGCUAUUUUAGCCAUGGUUAUGCGAAAUUUUGUAUUUAAAACCCCACCCUUUAUAAUAAAAAUUUAUUAUAUUUAUGAUAAAAAUAAGAUCACUUUCAACAACGGAUCUCUUGGCUCUC
rnacentral:misc_RNA from 1 species